AUGAUCACUGAAGUUAAGCAACAUUGAACCUGGUCAGUACCUAGAUGGGUGACCACUUGGGAAUAUCAGGUGCUGUAAG